rnacentral:hammerhead_ribozyme from 1 species
AUCCAGCUGACGAGUCCAAAAGGGGACGAAACGCGCGUCCUGGAU